rnacentral:rRNA from 1 species
UGCCAGCAGCCGCGGUAAUACGGAGGGUGCAAGCGUUAAUCGGAUUCAUUGGGCGUAAAGGGCGCGUAGGCGGAAAGGUAAGUCAGAUGUGAAAUCCCGGGGCUCAACCCCGGAACUGCAUCUGAGACUGUUUUUCUAGAGGAUAGGCGGAGAAAGCGGAAUUCCACGUGUAGCGGUGAAAUGCGUAGAUAUGUGGAAGAACACCUGUGGCGAAAGCGGCUUUCUAGCUUAUUCCUGACGCUGAGGCGCGAAAGCAAGGGGAGCAAACAGGAUUAGAUA